rnacentral:lncRNA from 1 species
UAGGCCAGCUCAUCACCCCAGCAAACACAUUAAAAAGGAAUCCCUUCGACUAAGCAGGCAUGGUGGCACACCCCUGUAGUCCUAGCACACUGGAAGCUGAGGCAAAAGGAUCAUGAGUUUGGGGCCAAUUUGGGUUACAUAGCAAAGGCCCCGUCUAGGGAAAAGAAAAAUCCCGUCUAAUUAAGUACUAGUAAUGAGUGUGAGUCUUUAAAAUACAACAUAAAACCUUGGUAUUUUAUAGCAAGUAGCAAGAGACUCAAAGGGAAUUGUGCCAACAGAAGUGAUAGCUAACAGGAAUAAAUUCCCACAGGGGAGGUGUUACUCUUUUUAAAGUAUAGCUGCCAAAAUAUACAGCUUGUCUCCUGGGUGUUUUCGUCUCUUAGUUCUGUGGCCUCCUCAUCAGAUUGAACCAAGUAUAAUGAUGCCAACUUAGACCAACUUAGAUGCCUGAAAGCAAGUGUCUCACAAAGUGAGUGUGUCAGGAGUGAUUUUAUUUUAUUUUAUUUUAUUUUAUUUUAUUUUUUUAAAGAUUUUAUUACAGGUAGUUGUGAACUGCCUAAUGUGGGUGCUAGGAACUGAACUCUGGUCUUCUGGAAGAACAUAAUCACUCUUAACCUCUGAGCCACCUCUCGGCCCCUCAGGAAGGAUUCUUUUCUACAUGUUUAGUUUUCAGUUGUGUGCAUAUGAGUUCGGGGGCCCACAGAUGCCUGUGGCGUCAAUCUCCCUCAAGCUGGAGUCAUAGGCAAGUGUGAGCUGCCUUGGAUGUGGAUCCUGGGAAUUGAACUCAGGUCCCCUGGAAGACCAUUGCAUGCUUCUAACCUCUAAGCCAUUUCUCCAGCUCCAAGGGGGUGAUUUUGAUACUAUGUUCUUUGAUUUUUUUUUCUCAUUGAUUCAGUAAAGUAUUGUAAUUGGAGGAUUUUGAGUUUUCAGACAUUUUAGAGACAGAUGCUGAGAAACGGUUACUAAAAGGUACGUGUGGGCUGUGUAGCACGUAUUAAUGAUGUAAGGUUCCCAGGAACCAGCAGGAGCAGAGAGUGAGGCAUGAUAGGCCUUGCCAGUCUCAGGCCAGGGCUGACAGAGCCUCUUGAAUAGAGAUGUGUUGGGAUGGUUGGUGGUGAUGGCUUAGGUAUUAGGAAGACUACCUGGUAUCAAGGUGGGGUAUUAUCAUUUGUGCUGUCCUUGUUCUUUUGAGUGUCUUAUGCAGAGUAGAUGAGGAUUCCUGCCCCACUUGUAAGUGGGAUGAGAUAGAGAGGUAUGUGAUCACACUGCGUCUUACGCAGUGCUGGGGUCGUGCUUGCUAGGCAGCUCCUCUCCCCGCUGAGCGCCUUCCCCAUCACAGCAGAGAUGUUUUCAAUGUAGCUUUGGCGGCAUUCCACCUUAGCUUGAGAAGUUAAGGAUUCUAAGGAGGCGGUUUCUCCCCCCCAACCUCCAGACUGUGGUAAAUUGGGAAGCAUUAAGAAAGGCACAGAAAACCAACUAUUUUAAUUGGCUAUAGGGAGAGGAAAUGAUUAAGUGUCUGACAGUGGCAUUUCACAAGGCUGUCCCGUCCUUACGAACGGCCAUGCCUGGUGGCUACAGAGGAUCAGAUCUCCGCGCUCUAGCCCUGUCGAGAGGCCAUGUUGUAAGUGACGGGGUGGUAAUGUUUUGGGAGAGUUUUGAAAUCUACUGAGUGUUUCUUACCCAGCACGUACUAACGUAAAGGGAGAAUGAGCGGUUCCCAAAUGUAAGCAUGUUUUUUAUUCUGGAAUAUGAUUUAAGUCAUAUUUUGUUCUCACGUUAACAAAACUUUGGUUUUUUGGAAAGAAAGCUGAGGUUUUGCCUGCCCGUCCUUGCCUUAGGUACUGCUUGGAAAUAGGAAUUGUCCAGUUUCCGACUUCUCAUCUGGAAUAUAGCUCUGGGUAGGACACGUGUGUGGGUGGUUUUAAGAGACCCAGGAGAUGAAGUACCACUUUGAAAAGUUUUCCUAGUCUUAUACAAUUCUGUGAGGCACAGAUUUUCAUGUAAUUUUCUAAAUGCUUUUACUAAGUUUUAUAUGUAACAUUAUUAUCUGUAAUAUUCUUUUGGGUUGAGGUUCUCUUGUGGGAAGUGUAUUCUUACCGCUACCAAAAUAAAACAAUCUUUUUGAAACGUGGUCUCACUAUGUAGAAUUUUUUUUUUUCUUUUUCAAAGAUAGGGCCUUACAAUGUAGGCCUGACUGGCCUCAAACUCAAAGCAAUUCAUUUAUCUCUGCAUCUUGGGUGCUGGGAUUAAAGGCAUUUCCCAACAAAUAGAAUGCAUAAAGUAUUCAUGAGCCAGGGAGUUUAAUAGUAAGAGUGUGCUUGGGAGGUCCUAGCUAGCUGCCCUAUAGUUAUGGCUGCGAGUAGUGAAUUCUACUUAGGGGGUGACAUUGGGUAGCUUACUUUAACAUAAAUCACGGGACACUAAAUAUGAUUUAAUAUUAUUUAUAGAGCUCAACUUGACUAGGGGGUUUUUCAAUCUUGGAGCUAAGAAAACUGCUGAACUCUAAGCGGCCUAGCCUCCAGGAGCAUCGCUGACUGCGAGGGACAGGUGUUCUGGCUCUUGCCUAUACGUUGUCUAGGAAUGCUGUGCUCCUCAGAUGAGGCCCUGAGGAAGGAAGGGGUGUGUGUGUUGGCUGGGUAUGGUGGCACACACUUUUAGUCCCAGCACUCAGGAGGAACUCUCUUGAGUUUGAGACCAGCCUGGCCUACAGAGUGAGACCCUGUAUCAAAACAAAACAUC